rnacentral:rRNA from 1 species
UCAAACUUGAGAGUUUGAUCCUGGCUCAGAACGAACGCUGGCGGCAUGCCUAACACAUGCAAGUCGAACGAAGUCUUCGGACUUAGUGGCGCACGGGUGCGUAACGCGUGGGAAUCUGCCCUUGGGUACGGAAUAACUCAGAGAAAUUUGUGCUAAUACCGUAUAAUGUCUUCGGACCAAAGAUUUAUCGCCCAAGGAUGAGCCCGCGUAAGAUUAGCUAGUUGGUGAGGUAAGAGCUCACCAAGGCGACGAUCUUUAGCUGGUCUGAGAGGAUGAUCAGCCACACUGGGACUGAGACACGGCCCAGACUCCUACGGGAGGCAGCAG